rnacentral:tRNA from 1 species
CCUUCUAUUAUUAAACUUUGAAAGUUUAAAGUGGACUAUUUCCUAGGGGCU